rnacentral:misc_RNA from 1 species
GACCAGCGGCUCGUGGACAGGCGACAAGGCAUCGACGGUGGCGAGCGCAUCGGGCACCUCGUCCCUGAGCAGGAUCGAGGGGCAUUGCCCAUCGAACGUGCCAAGGUUGGGGCGGUGCCAGCGAUAGCCGAGCAGCGCCUGAAGCUCCGGAUCGAGCGUGCGCACGAAAUC